rnacentral:rRNA from 1 species
UACGUAGGGGGCUAGCGUUGUCCGGAUUUAUUGGGCGUAAAGAGUGCGUAGGCGGUUUUCUAAGUUUGGUGUGAAAUCUCCCGCCUUAACUGGGAGGGUGCGCCGAAAACUGGAAGGCUUGAGUAUGGGAGAGGUAAGCGGAAUUCCUGGUGUAGCGGUGAAAUGCGUAGAUAUCAGGAGGAACACCUGCGGUGUAGACGGCUUACUGGACCAUAACUGACGCUGAGGCACGAAAGCGUGGGUAGCAAACAGG